UUUUUUUUUUUUUUUUUUUUUUUUCAUUCCUUACUUUGUCUUC
rnacentral:ribozyme from 1 species